GGGGAUCGUAAGACCUUGUGCUUUAGGAGUGGCCGAUGUCUGAUUAGCUAGUUGGUAAGGUAAAGGCUUACCAAGGCGACGAUCAGUAGCUGGUCUGAGAGGACGAUCAGCCACACUGGGACUGAGACACGGCCCAGACUCCUACGGGAGGCAGCAGUGGGGAAUUUUGGACAAUGGGCGGAAGCCUGAUCCAGCAAUGCCGCGUGAGUGAAGAAGGCCUUCGGGUUGUAAAGCUCUUUCAGUCGAGAAGAAAAGGCUAUGCCGAAUAAGUAUAGUUAAUGACGGUAUCGAAAGAAGAAGCACCGGCUAACUACGUGCCAGCAGCCGCGGUAAUACGUAGGGUGCAAGCGUUAAUCGGAAUUACUGGGCGUAAAGGGUGCGCAGGCGGUACUGUAAGUCAGAUGUGAAAUCCCCGGGCUUAACCUGGGAAUUGCGUUUGAAA
rnacentral:rRNA from 1 species